UGGGGAAUAUUGGGCAAUGGGGGAAACCCUGACCCAGCAACGCCGCGUGAGGGAAGAAGGCUUUCGGGUUGUAAACCUCUGUCGCAGGGGAAGAAAGAAAUGACGGUACCCUGUGAGGAAGCCCCGGCUAACUACGUGCCAGCAGCCGCGGUAAGACGUAGGGGGCAAGCGUUGUCCGGAAUUACUGGGCGUAAAGGGUGCGUAGGCGGCAGUAAAAGUCUGAUGUGAAAUACCCGUGCUUAACAUGGGACUUGCAUCGGAAACUUUACAGCUAGAGUGCAGGAGAGGUAAGUGGAAUUCCUAGUGUAGCGGUGAAAUGCAUAGAUAUUAGGAGGAACACCAGUGGCGAAGGCGACUUACUGGACUGUAACAGACGCUGAAGCACGAAAGCGUGGGGAGCGAACAGG
rnacentral:rRNA from 1 species